rnacentral:rRNA from 1 species
AUUGAACGCUGGCGGCAGGCUCAACACAUGCAAGUCGAGCGGGGUGAUGGUGCUUGCACUAUCACUUAGCGGCGGACGGGUGAGUAAUGCUUAGGAAUCUGCCUAUUAGUGGGGGACAACAUCUCGAAAGGGAUGCUAAUACCGCAUACGUCCUACGGGAGAAAGCAGGGGAUCACUUGUGACCUUGCGCUAAUAGAUGAGCCUAAGUCGGAGUAGGUAGUUGGUGGGGUAAAGGCCUAGCAAGGCGAAGGUCUGUAGCGGGUCUGAGAGGAUGGUCAGGCACACUGGGACUGAGCGCAGGCCCAGACUCCUACGGGGGACAACAGUGGGGAAUAUUGGGCAAUGGGAGGAACCCUGAUCCAGCCAUGCCGCGUGUGUGAAGAAGGCAUUAUGGUUGUAAAGCACUUUAAGCGAGGAGGAGGCUCUUUUGGUUAAUACCCAAGAUGAGUGGACGUAACUCGCAGAAUAAGCACCGGAUAACUCUGUGCCAGCCGCCGCCGUAA